rnacentral:tRNA from 1 species
UUCUGGCUAGUAUAUUGGUUAGUAUGCAAGCUUGUCACGCUUGAGAGCAGGGUUCGAUUCCCUGGCCGGAAG